rnacentral:rRNA from 1 species
CUGUGAGCUCGAUGAGUAGGGCGGGACACGUGGUAUCCUGUCUGAAUAUGGGGGGACCAUCCUCCAAGGCUAAAUACUCCUGACUGACCGAUAGUGAACCAGUACCGUGAGGGAAAGGCGAAAAGAACCCCGGCGAGGGGAGUGAAAAAGAACCUGAAACCGUGUACGUACAAGCAGUGGGAGCCUCUUUUAUGGGGUGACUGCGUACCUUUUGUAUAAUGGGUCAGCGACUUAUAUUCUGUAGCAAGGUUAACCGAAUAGGGGAGCCGAAGGGAAACCGAGUCUUAACUGGGCGUUAAGUUGCAGGGUAUAGACCCGAAACCCGGUGAUCUAGCCAUGGGCAGGUUGAAGGUUGGGUAACACUAACUGGAGGACCGAACCGACUAAUGUUGAAAAAUUAGCGGAUGACUUGUGGCUGGGGGUGAAAGGCCAAUCAAACCGGGAGAUAGCUGGUUCUCCCCGAAAGCUAUUUAGGUAGCGCCUCGUGAAUUCAUCUCCGGGGGUAGAGCACUGUUUCGGCAAGGGGGUCAUCCCGACUUACCAACCCGAUGCAAACUGCGAAUACCGGAGAAUGUUAUCACGGGAGACACACGGCGGGUGCUAACGUCCGUCGUGAAGAGGGAAACAACCCAGACCGCCAGCUAAGGUCCCAAAGUCAUGGUUAAGUGGGAAACGAUGUGGGAAGGCCCAGACAGCCAGGAUGUUGGCUUAGAAGCAGCCAUCAUUUAAAGAAAGCGUAAUAGCUCACUGGUCGAGUCGGCCUGCGCGGAAGAUGUAACGGGGCUAAACCAUG